rnacentral:rRNA from 1 species
UACGGGGGGGGCAAGCGUUAAUCGGAAUUACUGGGCGUAAAGCGUGCGCAGGCGGCGCGUUAAGACAGGUGUGAAAGCCCCGAGCUUAACUUGGGAAUUGCGCUUGUGACUGGCGUGCUGGAGUGUGGCAGAGGGAGGUGGAAUUCCACGUGUAGCAGUGAAAUGCGUAGAGAUGUGGAGGAACACCGAUGGCGAAGGCAGCCUCCUGGGCCAGCACUGACGCCCAUGCACGAAAGCGUGGGGAGCAAACAGG